UAAAAUGUGGCAUCUGUUGGUGUAAAAAGGAUUUUGGAUGCUCCACCCACACUGAAGCAGAGAGGAUAUGGCUGAAUCUCUACGUCAUGAGGGAUUUUUGCCACCUUCUCUAGUGCGCAAUGUGGAAGGGAAGUACUGACAAAGGAUGUUAAUCCUGAACACAUAAGGUAAAUAAAAAACAGCAGAGUGUUGGGCAAGAACAACAUCCUAGUAACAGGUGUGGUACUAAAAUGUAUCAACAGAAAACAGCAGUGCCUGUUACUCUUGGAUUUAUUAGAAGUGCUCAGAAGAUUUCUGAAUGUUGACAAUAUAGAAGAAGAAUUAUGGAAAGAAUCUAGUUUUGAAAUAAUUGAAAAGCUAAAAACAUGGUUAAAAAGCUGGAUGAAAUGUUAAAUGAACUGGCAAAUUUGAAAGAAAUUGUUAAGAAGUCUUCAAAUCAGGAAACUGUUUGUAGAAAAUGUUCAUGUCACUGCCACUCCACACAAGCAACUGUUACGAAAAGCAGUGGCAGUACAGAAACAAAUAGUUUGGAACAGAUAGGAAUUAAGGUAUAGGAAUUACGGUCAGCC